UACGUAGGGUGCAAGCGUUGUCCGGAAUUAUUGGGCGUAAAGAGCUCGUAGGCGGUCUGUCGCGUCGGCUGUGAAAACUCGGGGCUCAACUCCGAGCUUGCAGUCGAUACGGGCAGGCUAGAGUUCGGCAGGGGAGACUGGAAUUCCCAGUGUAGCGGUGAAAUGCGUAGAUAUUGGGAAGAACACCUGAGGCGAAGGCGGGUUGCUGGGCUGAUACUGACGCUGAGGCGCGAAAGCCAGGGGAGCAAACGGG
rnacentral:rRNA from 1 species